GAGCCAAAGAGACCGCCGUGCGAAAUGAAGACACGCACAUUAGGAUGUGCCAAGAUAUCACUUUGCGGCAGCCAUUUCUUCACCAUAACAUUCGAAGGUAAAUCCGGAAGGCUAUCGUUUUCAAAUUUCCACAGCACACGCUGAUUCAGCUGAGCGAAUACGUUGAGGAACAAGCGUAACUUCUCCACAGGCAUAUCUUUACUCUGCACUUGACUGCCCAAACUGAAGUAGAUGGCGCCAUGUUCGGCCUCAUCCAGGAACUGCUUUAUAUCGCUGGGCAACGCUUUUGGCGGAUAGAUAUGCAUGCCACCGACAUUGAUCAUGUUGUCCGUCGUGGGUCCAGCUGCCGCCAAUGGCGUAUAGUUGUUGAUCAAUAUGGCUGAAAGAUUUCUAUUCAUUUCGGAGGUGCUGGGGAAUUUGACUGCAAAGUAAAAAGAGUGU